rnacentral:lncRNA from 1 species
AAGUCUAGCAUCAAAUGUAUAGCUAACUAUUUUAAUUUGUGAUCAGAGCAACUGAUCUCCGUUCAAUUUUUAUCAUCAAAAGUUAGUUCUACUUUCACAGGACCUCUGCUCUACAUACCUCCUCUCUGGUUAAAGAAUGGAAUAUAAGUCUCAUUUAUCAAGUUGGUGUAAAAAUUUAGCUUGAUAAAUUAAGAAGUUGUAAACUUUAUUAUCACAAUUGCCAAGUUGACCAAAUGUUCUUCUGGUUUUAAAUGAAUUAUGUAUGAGUCUAGUAUCAUCUGGGUGUUCAAAGAUAGUUUACUGCUUGAAGAACUUAUCAAUGGACCAACUAAUUAUAAAACAGUUUUUAAUGAAAAUAAAAACGAAUUAUCAAAAGA